UUAAAAAGCUCGUAGUUGAACCUUGGGCCUGGCUGACCUGUCCUCCUAAUCGAGCGCACGGGUUCGGUCGGGCCUUUCCUUCUGGGGAUCCCGAUGCCCUUCACUGGGCGUCGUGGGGAACCAGGACUUUUACCUUGAAAAAAUUAGAGUGUUCAAGGCAGGCCUUUGCUCGAAUACAUUAGCAUGGAAUAAUAGAAUAGGACAGAGGUUCUAUUUUGUUGGUUUCUAGGACCGCUGUAAUGAUUAAUAGGGAUAGUCGGGGG
rnacentral:rRNA from 1 species